rnacentral:rRNA from 1 species
CACGUAGGCGGAUAUUUAAGUCAGAGGUGAAAGCCCGGGGCUCAACCCCGGAACUGCCUUUGAAACUAGAUGGCUUGAAUCUUGGAGAGGCGAGUGGAAUUCCGAGUGUAGAGGUGAAAUUCGUAGAUAUUCGGAAGAACACCAGUGGCGAAGGCGACUCGCUGGACAAGUAUUGACGCUGAGGUGCAAAAGCGUGGGGAGCAAACA